AUUGAACGCUGGCGGCAGGCCUAACACAUGCAAGUCGAGCGGAUGAAGGGAGCUUGCUCCUGGAUUCAGCGGCGGUCGGGUGAGUAAUGCCUAGGAAUCUGCCUGGUAGUGGGGGACAACGUUUCGAAAGGAACGCUAAUACCGCAUACGUCCUACGGGAGAAAGCAGGGGACCUUCGGGCCUUGCGCUAUCAGAUGAGCCUAGGUCGGAUUAGCUAGUUGGUGAGGUAAUGGCUCACCAAGGCGACGAUCCGUAACUGGUCCGAGAGGAUGAUCAGUCACACUGGAACUGAGACACGGUCCAGACUCCUACGGGAGGCAGCAGUGGGGAAUAUUGGACAAUGGGCGAAAGCCUGAUCCAGCCAUGCCGCGUGUGUGAAGAAGGUCUUCGGAUUGUAAAGCACUUUAAGUUGGGAGGAAGGGUUGUAGAUUAAUACUCUGCAAUUUUGACGUUACCGACAGAAUAAGCACCGGCUAACUCUGUGCCAGCAGCCGCGGUAAGAC
rnacentral:rRNA from 1 species